CAGGAUUCACUCAACAGAAACCCAUUUUUUUUCCAUCACGACAUGACAAACAAAAAAACCCAUUCCCCCACCCAAUUUCAAGGGAUCUUCUUGCUUCCACUGAUCGCUCUCACACCUCACUACGGGAGCUAGAAGAAAAGGAUUAUUCUCCUUUCAACUCCGUUCACCUCUGGCGUCUUCCAUCAACCAUUACUCACUUUCAACAUCAUCAAUCCCCUGUUGCUGCAACUACCUUUCACCUAGAAGAGACAAAGAAAGCAUCCGAAUCUACAAUCGCAGAAAGAAAACCAAACAAAAAAACAGUUUCUCAAGCAAGCUGAUGUUCUUGAACCAUUCAACGCAUCGAGUUUACCAAGUUAUCUUCAAAUGUGGAUUAAUUCACUUGAAGAAGGAAGUCUAUAUCAAAGAUUUCCUUCAGAUUUGUUUCAACUGCUGAUGUCAGAGUGUCUUGUCCUGCACAAUCAUAUA